UACGUAGGCAGCGAGCGUUGUUCGGAGUUACUGGGCGUAAAGGGUGUGUAGGCGGUUCUUUAAGUUUGGUGUGAAAUCUCCCGGCUCAACCGGGAGGGUGCGCCGAAUACUGAGGGACUAGAGUACGGGAGAGGAAAGUGGAAUUCCUGGUGUAGCGGUGGAAUGCGUAGAGAUCCGGAGGAAGACCGGUGGCGAAGGCGGUCUGCUGGGCAGUUUCUGACACUGAUGCGCGACAGCGUGGGGGAGCAAACAGG
rnacentral:rRNA from 1 species